GGCAGGUUUCCCAAGCGGCCAAAGGGAUCUGACUGUAAAUCAGACGCGAGAGCUUCGGGGGUUCGAAUCCCUCACCUGCCA
rfam:Micrococcales bacterium 73-13 scnpilot_expt_750_p_scaffold_388, whole genome shotgun sequence.